AGGACGAACGCUAGGCGGCGGGCUUAACACAUGCAAGUCGAACGAAGCCUUCGGGCUUAGUGGCGCACGGGUGAGUAACACGUAGGCAACCUACCCUUAGCUGGGGAAUAACCAGGGGAAACCCUGGCUAAUACCGCAUAACGUCGUCGCGACCUCCUGGUCGUACGACCAAAGCUCUGGCGGCUGGGGAUGGGCCUGCGUCGGAUUAGCUAGUUGGUGGGGUAACGGCCCACCAAGGCGACGAUCCGUAGCGGGUCUGAGAGGAUGAUCCGCCACACUGGCACCGAGACACGGGCCAGACUCCUACGGGGAGGCAGCAGUGAGGAAUA
rnacentral:rRNA from 1 species